GACGAACGCUGGCGGCGUGCUUAACACACGCAAGUCGAACGGAAAGGCCCUGCUUUUGUGGGGUGCUCGAGUGGCGAACGGGUGAGUAACACGUGAGUAACCUGCCCUUGACUUUGGGAUAACCUCAGGAAACUGGGGCUAAUACCGGAUAGGAGUUCCUGCUGCAUGGUGGGGGUUGGAAAGUUUCGGCGGUUGGGGAUGGACUGGCGGCGUAUCAGCUUGUUUGUUGGGUAGUGGCUUAGCAUGGCUUUGACGGGUAGCAGGCCUGAGAGGGUGACCGGCCAAACUAGGACUGGAAUGCGGCCCAGACUCCUACGGGAGGCAACGGUGGGGUAUAGUGCACAAUGGGCGGAAGCCUGAUGCAACAACGCCGCGUGCGGGAUGACGGCCAUCGGGUUGGAUUCCGCUGUCGCUUGUGACGAAGCGUGAGUGACGGUAAUGGGUAAAGAAGCACCGGCUAACUACGUG
rnacentral:rRNA from 1 species